rnacentral:lncRNA from 1 species
CGUUUAAGACAAAUUAUGGUCUCAAAAAUAGAGAUUCUUCAAGAAUCAAAGAAUACCCAGCAUUUUAUUUUAAAGGUAGAACUGAUACCAUUGCUCAGUUUUCAGGAGAUAUUUGCAAGAAUUCUUUGUCAUCCAGAACGACAGUUUUCUUCUCAUUCCAUAGAACUCUGAAAGGCAAAAACUAUUUUUUUUUACAUUCAGCCUAAAAUUGGGCGUGUAUUGUUGCCCCAGAAUAACCAGUCUUAUUUUUCAUUUUUAGCAGUAUACUCCAUUCUUUUCCCUUUCCCCCAUCUCACCCCAUUUUAGUAACUUCCACUAAUCACACUUUUAGUUUCAUGAUUUUUAAAUCUAAACAGUUUUUAUUCCUAAGAUUUGAUUUGAUGUAAUAUGUAUAAUACCUGUACUGAUUCUAAGAAAUUAUUGUAUUUUUCUCCUAAUUUUCCCUUUGAACUGGGAUGAAACAACACCUGAUUUAAGA